rnacentral:rRNA from 1 species
UACAGAGGUCCCAAGCGUUGUUCGGAUUCACUGGGCGUAAAGGGCGCGUAGGUGGCGCCGUAAGUCAGGUGUGAAAUUUCGGAGCUUAACUCCGAAACUGCAUUUGAUACUGCGGUGCUUGAGGACUGGAGAGGAGACUGGAAUUUACGGUGUAGCAGUGAAAUGCGUAGAUAUCGUAAGGAAGACCAGUGGCGAAGGCGGGUCUCUGGACAGUUCCUGACACUGAGGCACGAAGGCCAGGGGAGCAAACGGG